rnacentral:rRNA from 1 species
UACGUAGGGGGCAAGCGUUGUCCGGAAUCAUUGGGCGUAAAGAGCGUGUAGGCGGUCCGGUAAGUCGGCUGUGAAAGUCCAGGGCUCAACCCUGGGAUGCCGGUCGAUACUGCCGGACUAGAGUUCGGAAGAGGCGAGUGGAAUUCCCGGUGUGAGCGGUGAAAAUGCGCAGAUAUCGGGAGGAACACCUAUGGCGAAGGCAGCUCGCUGGGACGUUACUGACGCUGGAGAACGCGGAAAGCGUGGGGAGCAAACACGG